UAAUUCAUUUCGUCCAGCCGCUCCUCCUUUCUCUCUCUGGUGAUUUUCAAUUUAGGGUUUCUUGCCUCCUUUGGAAUAAGCAAGAUCUCACCAGAUCCAUCAAUGGUGUGGUCUGUAAAAGUAGUAGAGGCAAGUUCCAACAACCCGAGAUCUAGAGUUUUAAUUUCAUAUCUGAGAUCUCGUGAUUCAACAACAGGCAGCGGCUAGGGUUCUGACCAUGACCACCUGAUCCGUUGUAUAAGGAGCUACGGAAGGCUUGUGCAGGGCCAUUAGUGGAUGUUCCAAGAGACGGAGAGAGGGUUUUCUACUUUCCACAGGGUCAUAUGGAACAAUUGGAAGAAUCUAUGAAUCAGGAAUUAAAUCAAAGGAUUCCUCACUUUAACCCAAAAUCAAAGAUUCUUUGUUGUGUUGUUCAUACUCAGCUAUUGGUAUAUAAUUUUUUGUUUUUCAGCCUCAUAACUGGUUAACUGACAAGGGUGAUAAUGUUGAUUGUCGCAAUGGUGUUUGGAGACUACAAGGUUCACUAGCAGUAUCAAGAGCGAUAGGAGACAAUCAUCUCAAGAAUUGGGUGAUUUCAGAACCGGAAAGUCGGAAACAUGAGUAAUCAACAUUAGACCUGAGUGCGAGUUUUUAAUCCUUGCUUCUGAUGGGAUUUGGGAUACGGUAAGCAGCCAAGAAGCAAUCGACAUUGUUCACCCCUUUUGCAUAGGAACUGCUGUCCCCGGGUUGCCUGCGCCCGGAGCUUGAUUCCGCGUUUGGCUUAUUUCGUUUGGUUAUGGGGUUGGUAUUCUGUCCCUGUCUUGAUGGAAAUUGGCUGCUGGGUUUGGCUUCCGAGUUGCAACGUCUGGGUUCGGGUUUAUCGCAUUGGCAGUUUGCUGCUGUGUUGGGCCACCUGUUUCAGCUUCGUUGAAGGCCUAGGUUAUAGUAGUGUGAUUUUAGGAACCCAAAAAAUGUGGUAUAUAUACUUUCCUUUUUUUGCUGGCUUGGAUGAUGAUUAUAUGAGGCACAAUUUUCAGGCGAGGCGCAACCAUACCGCUUUGUGCCGUCAAAGGCACUCUUCUGAAGGAGGUUUGGAGUGCUUGAUAUGAUACAAGCUGCAGAGUCUUUAACCAAGCUAAAGGCAAGAUGUGACUUGUGUGGAAAGCGCGUUUCUUUUACGUUAAAGAAGACAGACGAAACUGAGAGAGAACAGGUUGCUGGUGCAGAUGUAUACAUUCACAGACAUCACUAUGCAAGUGGUCAAGUGCUCAAAGAGACUGCAAAAGCUGCUCUUCAAACACACACGACUCAGUGUGGUUCAUUGUAUUACGUAUUCACAUGCCGUUUUCAAGCAUUAAUGUAACAGGUUUGGGUUGAACAUUAGAACUUAGAUUCAACCAACCAUUUUAACGAGGUUUUAUUUACAAUAUGGUUUUAGUUCAAAGUUUUGUUGGCGUUUUCUUGUCGGACAUGAAACACGAUCUAUCACGGUUCCGGCUAAGAAAAGCUUGGCUUGAAAAGUAGACAUCAAAUUUUGGCAUGGGCUUGUUAAAAUGUUACUCUAAGUGUUAUUAC
rnacentral:lncRNA from 1 species